rnacentral:lncRNA from 1 species
AUGAAGGCCUUGAGCAUGGUUCCGGAGUACAAGGUGGUGGGGCGCUGCUUGCCAAUCCCAAAAUGCCACACAGCACCUCUGUACGGAAUGCAAAUCUUUGCACCCAUGUGGUGGCCAAGUCCCACUUCUGGUAAUUCGUGUCGCAACUGAAGAAGAUGAAGAAGUCAUCUGGGGAGAUUGUGUACUGCGGGCAGGUGUUUGAGAAGUUACCCCUGCUCGUGAAGAACUUUGGCAUCUGGCCGCGCUAUAACUCCCGCAGUGACACACACAAGCUGUACCGGGAGUACGGGGACCUGACCACUGCUGGUGCAGUCCCACAGUGCUGCUGAGACAUGGGUGCCUGACACCGUGCCUGUGUCCACCCAGAUCAUGAAGGUGGAAGACAUUGCAGCUGGCAAGUGCCGCCGCAGUUCCACGACUCCAAAAUCAAAUUCCCACUGCCCCAUGGUGUGUUGUGGCGGCGCCAGCACAAACCAUGCUUCACCACCAAGAGCCCCAACACCUUCUUCUAG